ensembl:lncRNA
UCAAGUAACAAACCUUUGCUUUCACCAGAUUCAGGUAAUACGGACUCUGUGUGCAGCCACCCAAUAGGCCCAGUUUCCUCAUCUGCCAAAUGUCGAUAUUACCUGUUUUCCACACUUUGGGGGCUUACACUUCCUUCCCAUCGGUGGUCUCAGAGCUCUCACCGCGGACACCCGAGAUUCGAGGAAAGCUCCGGAAAAGACUCCGCUCUCAAUAACAACCCUCUUCCCCAAGGCUCUUGGAAAGGCUGGAUCUGAACAACGCUGCCUGCAUGACCUCAAUUCCCCAACCUAAAUGAAAGCUGAGAAGCACCCAACCAAAACCCGCACCCCCCACCCCAACCACCCUACGGGGCGGGGGGCGGUCCCAUACUCAGGGUGUCUACAAGCUCUACUCAGGGUGUCUACAGUCCUGGAGCUGCUUUUAUUUUUAUUAAUGUAUUUUUCAGGCCGAAAAAAGGCACAUGCACACACGCACACCGCACACAGGUUCACACCCAGUGGGUUCUGGCAGGUACAGAGGAGACCUGGUGCUCCAGACUGUAAAGUGUCUUGAUCCCAGCCUGGCCUCCCUCCCCCAGUGAUUAAUAAAAGACCGGCCAUGGGGAGCCGGCGUUCUGGUUUUCAUUGUACAGGCUGCACUGGGUGACACAGGAC